rnacentral:tRNA from 1 species
GCAGUGAUGGUUCAGUGGUAGAAUUCUCACUUUCCGUGCAGGAGUCCAGGGUUCAAUUCCUGGUCAAUGCA